rnacentral:rRNA from 1 species
GACGGAGGAGGCAAGCGUUAUCCGGAAUUAUUGGGCGUAAAGGGUACGUAGGCGGCUGGUCAAGUCUGGGGUCAAAGGCCACAGCUCAACUGUGGGAAGGCCCUGGAAACUGGCCGGCUAGAGUGAGGUAGGGGUUGCGGGAAUUCCCGGUGUAGCGGUGAAAUGCGUAGAGAUCGGGAAGAACACCUGAGGCGGAAGCGCGCAACUGGGCCUUAAAUGACGCUGAGGUACGAAAGCUAGGGGAGCGAAUGGG